UCGUGCUAGACGGGGAGGUAGCGGUGCCCUGUACUCGCAAUCCGCUCCAGCGGGGUUGAAUUCCUUUUCUAGGUUAAUUCGCUGUAGGGUCAGUCUUAAAAAAGUGAUGUUGACGUCUUGGUCCUUCGCAAUGGGAAUCCAUGAACUAUGUCAGGUCCGGAAGGAAGCAGCAUUAAGUGGAAGCUCUCAUGUGCCGAAGGGUUGCCUGUGCUGAGUUAUCUUUUUUUUGCAACGCUUAUGGAGAUUAAUCGACAGAAGGUGCACGG
rnacentral:SRP_RNA from 1 species